GCAAGUCGAACGAAGUAGCAAUACUUAGUGGCAGACGGGUGAGUAACAUGUGGGUAUCUGCCCUUUGGCCUGGAAUAACACGAGGAAACUUGUGCUAAUACCGGAUAAGUCUUUACGGAGAAAGCUUUAUGCACCAUUGGAUGAGCCCGCACUUGAUUAGUUUGUUGGUAGGGUAAUGGCCUACCAAGACUGUGAUCAAUAGCUGAUUUGAGAGGAUGAUCAGCCACAUUGGGACUGAGACACGGCCCAAACUCCUACGGGAGGCAGCAGUGGGGAAUCUUGCACAAUGGAGGAAACUCUGAUGCAGCGAUGCCGCGUGAGUGAAGAAGGCCUUUGGGUUGUAAAGCUCUUUCGUCGGGGAAGAAAAUGACUGUACCCGAAUAAGAAGGUCCGGCUAACUUCGUGCCAGCAGCCGCGGUAAUACGAAGGGACCUAGCGUAGUUCGGAAUUACUGGGCUUAAAGAGUUCGUAGGUGGUUGAAAAAGUUGGUGGUGAAAUCCCAGAGCUUAACUCUGGAACUGCCAUCAAAACUUUUCAGCUAGAGUUUGAUAGAGGAAAGCAGAAUUUCUAGUGUAGAGGUGAAAUUCGUAGAUAUUAGAAAGAAUACCAAUUGCGAAGGCAGCUUUCUGGAUCAUUACUGACACUGAGGAACGAAAGCAUGGGUAGCGAAGAGGAUUAGAUACCCUCGUAGUCCAUGCCGUAAACGAUGUGUGUUAGACGUUGGAAAUUUAUUUUCAGUGUCGCAGCGAAAGCGAUAAAACACACCGCCUGGGGAGUACGACCGCAAGGUUAAAACUCAA
rnacentral:rRNA from 1 species